rnacentral:rRNA from 1 species
CACGUAGGGCGCAAGCGUUGUCCGGAAUUAUUGGGCGUAAAGAGCUCGUAGCGGUCUGUUACGUCUGCUGUGAAAACCCUGGGCUUAACCCUGGGCUUGCAGUGGAUACGGGCAGACUAGAGGCAGGUAGGGGGAGAAUGGAAUUCCCGGUGUAGCGGUGAAAUGCGCAGAUAUCGGGAGGAACACCGGUGGCGAAGGCGGUUCACUGGGCCUGACCCUGACGCUGAGGAGCGAA